CCGCGUACCGUGGUUUCGCAUUGUUUCCGCCUUUGACCAAUGCACGACUUGGACUACUCGUUGCCGAGCUGAGCACGCCCGCCGCCGAGCACGCCCGCCGCCGCCCGCCGCCGAGCACGCCCGCCGCCGCGCCCACCGCCAGCCCUCUCCGCCGGAGACGUUCUCGGAGCUCGCCCGCCGCCGCGAUCAGGUCAUCGAUCCGGAGGUGCUCGUCUCCCCCAAUCAGGAGCUGCUCAUGCCGAGGCCCAGCCUCACCCUUUCAAAUCUGCUCCCCGUCCAACCACCCAAGCAGUCCAGCUCCACAUCGCCACCGCCGCCCACGUCUGCUCCCCGUGCUGUUGUACCUCGACAUGCUCUUCCCCGUGAUCUGCAUCCCGACUCUGCCCUUCGACUUCCUCAACGACAGCGGUGGAGUGGAUCGUCGCCAGGUACGUGGUGUGGCGUCGAGUGGAGGAACCUUGCAUCCACCGCCUGCUUCGCAUCUCGCCACAAACUCGCCGCAACUGCCGCUCGUUGCUCACGUCGCCACAACCGCGCUGGACACAGAGGCCGCGACUCGCUGCUCCCUGCCGCGACGAAACGUGGUGUCAGGGCGUGGGGAGUGCCGGGGCAAAAUCUGCGAAGUCAACAGGUGUCCUGAAAAGCAGGGCAGGGGGUCCUAAUCUACUAUCAUCGACGACAUUGCCACUCCUAGGUUACCUAGCUGAAUCCUGAAGAGCAUUCCUUAAUGCAUUUGGAGCAAUAGUUCGUUGCUACACCUGUUUGAAGCAAGUAAUUGUAGAUACAAAAAGGUCGAGCUACAUCUGUAUGUUACUCCACCUGGUGUAGGCCAUCAAACACUAUUCUUCUCCGUCUCCACAUCCCCUUCCUCCAGUCCAGAACAGGUAGACUACAGGGAUUGUGGGUUAUUUCAAUGGAAAAUAGGGGCUCUCCUGCACCAUUGGGUGACAAGACUAACUCUAUUAAUGAAGGAAGUGAUGUUGUACAACGUAGGCGAGAAAGAGAUAAGGCUCGAUGGCAUGCAAUGUCUCAAGAGAAAAAGGAUGAAAAAAAUAAAAAACGUCGAGAAGCAUAUAAAAGAAAAAAGGAGCAACAACUGUGUAUUGAAACAAUCAAUGGUUGUAUAGUAGAAAUAUUGGUGAAUAAAAAUAUAGAUAUUACUAUUCAUGUUUCUCAUAUGUGCUAUGUCUCAAUUGGUAGAUGGACAGGAUGUAUCAAACAAGGAAAAUAUGGAUCCUAAUGAAACAAAUGACUGGUUACAUAGGAAUGAUUUA